GAUGAACGCUGGCGGCGUGCCUAAUACAUGCAAGUCGAACGCACAGCGAAAGGUGCUUGCACCUUUCAAGUGAGUGGCGAACGGGUGAGUAACACGUGGAUAACCUACCUCAAGGUUGGGGAUAACAUUUGGAAACAGAUGCUAAUACCGAAUAAAACUUCGUAUCGCAUGAUACGAGGUUAAAAAGGCGCUACGGCGUCACCUAGAGAUGGAUCCGCGGUGCAUUAGUUAGUUGGUGGGUAAAGGCUACCAAGACAAUGAUGCAUAGCCGAGUUGAGAGACUGAUCGGCCACAUUGGGACUGAGACACGGCCCAAACUCCUACGGGAGGCUGCAGUAGGGAAUCUUCCACAAUGGGCGAAAGCCUGAUGGAGCAACGACCGCGUGUGUGAUGAAGGCUUCGGGUCGUAAAGGCACUGUUGUAUGGGAAGAACAGCUAGA
rnacentral:rRNA from 1 species